rnacentral:rRNA from 1 species
UACGGGGGGAGCAAGCGUUGUUCGGAUUUACUGGGCGUAAAGGGCGCGUAGGCGGCCACCGCAAGUCGACUGUGAAAUCUCCGGGCUUAACUCGGAAAGGUCAGCCGAUACUGCGGGGCUAGAGUGCAGAAGGGGCAACUGGAAUUCUCGGUGUAGCGGUGAAAUGCGUAGAUAUCGAGAGGAACACCUGCGGCGAAGGCGGGUUGCUGGGCUGUGGCUGACGCUGAUGCGCGACAGCGUGGGGAGCAAACAGG